GGAGGCGUAGCUCAAAUGGUGGAGCUCUCACUUAGCAUGUGAGAGGUAAGGGGAUCGAUACUCCGCUCCUCCA